UACGAAGGGGGCAAGCGUUGUUCGGAAUUACUGGGCGUAAAGGGCGCGUAGGCGGCCAGUUUAGUCAGAGGUGAAAGCCCAGGGCUCAACCCUGGAAUUGCCUUUGAUACUGAUUGUCUUGAGUAUGGGAGAGGUGUGUGGAACUCCGAGUGUAGAGGUGAAAUUCGUAGAUAUUCGGAAGAACACCAGUGGCGAAGGCGACACACUGGCCCGUUACUGACGCUGAGGCUCGAAAGCGUGGGGAGCAAACAGG
rnacentral:rRNA from 1 species